UACGUAGGUGGCAAGCGUUGUCCGGAUUUAUUGGGUUUAAAGGGUGCGUAGGCGGCUUUGUAAGUCAGUGGUGAAAUAUGGCAGCUCAACUGUCAAGGUGCCAUUGAUACUGCGGAGCUUGAGUACAGAUGAGGUAGGCGGAAUUGACGGUGUAGCGGUGAAAUGCUUAGAUAUCGUCAAGGAACACCUAUAGCGAAGGCAGCUUACUAGGCUGUAACUGACGCUGAGGCACGAAAGUGUGGGGAUCAAACAGG
rnacentral:rRNA from 1 species